AUGGCAACUUCAACAGUCAAGGCAGGAUGGACACUGAAAGAUGGGACAUGGGCUGCAAAUCAAAUGGUGGUCUCCAGGAAGUUAAGAGCCAGUGUAUGUGGAGCAGGCAGGCCGAGGAGUGAAGAUGACCCAGUGUUAAGAGCCUGUGAUUAGUAACUAUAUGGUCUUGACUUACAUACAUAGUCUGUUGAGACUGGAAAAGGAUGUUAUUACUUCUGUGGUUCUAAGUGUGGUGACAAUAUCAGUGGCAUAGGCAUCACCUGGAAACUAAUUAGAAAUGCAAAUUUUCAGGUUUUUCCCUAGACCCACUGAAUCAGAAGCUCUGGAGUUGGGGCCCAGCAAUCUGGGUCAUCUUUAUCAAGAUUUCUGGGUGAUUCUGAUGUAUACUUGUGUUUGAGAACCACUGCUUUACACAAACAUUUUGAUGAUUAACUGGAAGAGUUGGGGAGAUCAUAUCAUACAGAGUAGAGUCCCUUUCCUGAUCAAAUCUUCACCCAUUAUUGAUGUAGUCUUACAUAAUGAUGCUGGUGCCUCUACAGUUUAUAAACUCAGAGAAAGUGGGGGCUGGGGGCACAGAAAGGAAGUCAAAAGAGAGCUAGAAGUUAUGAUUUAAGGGAGUUCAAGGACUCAGUAUUUCUACACCCAACAUUUACUUUUCAGCAGUCUUCAAAAUAGUCAUAAAAGUCAGAAGGUGGAGGAGAAAGAGAAACAUUAUGCUCUUUAUAUUGAAGAGAUUAGGAACUCUCUACACAUCCUGGACCACGUUCAACUACUACAGAGAAAGUCACAUUUGCAGUUGUGAGAAGAGCUUAGUGGUGAAUCCAUAGACAAACGUAGCAACAUUCUCAUUUCAGGACUGGCAUCAUCUAAGUUGGUGCGCUCGUGCCUGCCUGCUGCAAGAACACCUCUGUUCCUAACUCCGUUGGUAUGGCUUGUGUAUCUUCUACCUCACUCAUAAAUCAUUUUGCUCAGAAGCCUGAUUCUGGGCUAGC